UCCAAUAUAUGGGUCCCAUCCCAUUGUAACACUAAUUGAGAACUUCCCGUCUGGAGGAAAGAAGAGAAUGAAUGACAUGCAACAUUGGACCCUAAACAGAACCAAUGACAAACCUGUGAGCUCACAAGCACACUUCUGGAGAACCUGGCUACCAGAGAAGUGUUACUUCCAAGCUGUAAAAUCACUCAGCAGUCCCUGCAACUGAUGCAACCUUUACUUUAAGAGAAUAGGAGGACAUCAUGUUCAUAAAGAAACCUUGGAUCUCGAACGUACCUAAAAAGCAGCUUAAAGUCCUUGGAGCAAACAGUACAGCUGAGAAAUGUUACACCAGUUGGGUGUCAAUCCAUAAAACCCGUUCUAGAGAAAAUCGUGGAG
rnacentral:lncRNA from 1 species